rnacentral:rRNA from 1 species
GACGAACGCUGGCGGCGUGCUUAACACAUGCAAGUCGAACGGUAGGGCCCUUCGGGGUACACGAGUGGCGAACGGGUGAGUAACACGUGGGUGAUCUGCCCUGCACUUCGGGAUAAGCCUGGGAAACUGGGUCUAAUACCGGAUAGGACCCUGGGAUGCAUGUCCUGGGGUGGAAAGCUUUUGCGGUGUGGGAUGGGCCCGCGGCCUAUCAGCUUGUUGGGGGGGUGAUGGCCUACCAAGGCGACGACGGGUAGCCGGCCUGAGAGGGUGACCGGCCACACUGGGACUGAGAUACGGCCCAGACGCCUACGGGAGGCAGCAGGGGGGAAUAUUGCGCAAUGGGCGCAAGCCUGAUGCAGCGACGCCGCGUGAGGGAUGACGGCCUUCGGGUUGUAAACCUCUUUCAGCACCGACGAAGCGCAAGUGACGGUAGGUGCAGAAGAAGGACCGGCCAACUACGUGCCAGCCGCCGCCGUAACAC